CUUGACUACUGCAAUCCCCUUCUCAGUGGUCUUACAUGUUCCCAGAUUGCCCCGCUGCAAUCUACAAUGAAUGUGGCAGCGAGGCUCAUUUUCAUUUCUGCCUGCACCUCUCAUACCUCCCCCCUCUGACAGUCCCUACAUUGGCUUCCAGUUAGAUAUAGGGCUCAAUAUAAGAUUCUGGUGCUUGCUUACAAGUUCCUACAUAAUGCUGCUCUGACCUACCU